GUGCGAUAACUAGUGUGAAUUGCAUAUUCAGUGAAUCAUCGAGUCUUUGAACGCAACUUGCGCUCAUUGGUAUUCCAAUGAGCACGCCUGUUUCAGUAUCAAAACAAACCCUCUAUUCAAUAUUUUUGUUGAAUAGGAAUACUGAGAGUCUCUUGAUCUUUUCUGAUCUCGAACCUCUUGAAAUGUACAAAGGCCUGAUCUUGUUUGAAUGCCUGAACUUUUUUUUAAUAUAAAGAGAAGCUCUUGCGGUAAACUGUGCUGGGGCCUCCCAAAUAAUACUCUUUUUAAAUUUGAUCUGAAAUCAGGCGGGAUUACCCGCUGAACUUAA
rnacentral:misc_RNA from 1 species